CUCAGCCGCCUCCGUCCACCGCUCCGUCUGCCCCACAGCCGGCCGCCCUUCGCCUACCGCGUUGCCUCCACCUCCAUCCUCCACUUGCAGCACUACCCGCCGAUGUCCGCCUGCCAAAACAACGCACCCACAUCGUCCGAUGUCCGCCUGCCAAAGCAACGCACCGACAUCGUCUUUCCAUUCCCGAGGCUCUUCCCCUUGCGGCCUUGCCACAGCUGCCGCGUCAUCACCCACCGCCAUCGUCUCCAGCCACCUACCUCCUCUCUUCUCCACUCUCAGUCCCACCCCCUCUAUUUCGACGUGGGCAGCGCCAGGUACACCACUCCCCCUCCAAGAGCUUUUCUGCCCCUCCAUCACCAUUGGCACGGAGCUGUCGUCCAUCUGCAGCUCGCGUGAGCGGCUAAACGACGCGACGGCGGUGCGAUUAAGAGCUCCUCUAGGCCUCCCUCUGCUGGGCCCGCCCAUUGCAGACUGCCGAAGCUCCUGGAGUGCAGCAACAGAGGUGACCUAGAGAGCAGCUCGCAUGACUGCAGGUCGACGCAAUGCCAACGCGAGUAGCAACUCCAGCCAUGGCCUUUACAUGUGCAGCUCAGCCAUUGACUCCACUGUCUGCAAGAAAGUACCUAUUGGACCUCUUAUUAUGGGAUGUAAGAGUUGGAGUUCUAUGGCUCGUUGACGGUAUCUGUACAUACAUACUUUAUCACUCAGUCAUCCUGGUACUGUGAAAUGGGCAUCUAGACUUGGCCGAGACUGAGAGCAUCACAAUAACCUCGCUCAGUUUAUGUUCGUUAUGGGCUACAACACUGAAGCUGUUCAUUCGGUGAUUAUGAAUUCUAAUUCCCAUCUGAAAUGUUCCUUGCCAUUAUAUUUUUAAAAGAUUCCUUGCAUAUAUGUGCAUGUCAGCUAUACUGGUAUAAGAUGCUGUUACCUCGCAAUGUAUGGGAUCCUGUUAGUACUGUGAAAUGAUAUAUAUUAUUUUUCUUAGGAGAUAAAGACAACAAGAUGCAAUGCUCUGUAAACAUAUAAUUCAAAGUUAUCUGACCAAA